rnacentral:miRNA from 1 species
AAGAUGUUCUCAAUGUAGGCUU